rnacentral:rRNA from 1 species
GAGUUUGAUCGUGGCUCAGAUUGAACGCUGGCGGCAGGCCUAACACAUGCAAGUCGAGCGGUAGAGAGAAGCUUGCUUCUCUUGAGAGCGGCGGACGGGUGAGUAAUGCCUAGGAAUCUGCCUGGUAGUGGGGGAUAGCGUUCGGAAACGGACGCUAAUACCGCAUACGUCCUACGGGAGAAAGCAGGGGACCUUCGGGCCUUGCGCUAUCAGAUGAGCCUAGGUCGGAUUAGCUAGUUGGUGAGGUAAUGGCUCACCAAGGCGACGAUCCGUAACUGGUCUGAGAGGAUGAUCAGUCACACUGGAACUGAGACACGGUCCAGACUCCUACGGGAGGCAGCAGUGGGGAAUAUUGGACAAUGGGCGAAAGCCUGAUCCAGCCAUGCCGCGUGUGUGAAGAAGGUCUUCGGAUUGUAAAGCACUUUAAGUUGGGAGGAAGGGUUGUAGAUUAAUACUCUGCAAUUUUGACGUUACCGACAGAAUAAGCACCGGCUAACUCUGUGCCACG